CCGGUCGCCUCUUUCCCGCGCCGGGCCCGCUGCUCCGGGGGACGGCGGAGGACAGCGGGCUGCGGGGCGGCCGGGCGGGGCAGGCCGAGUCCUCGCGUGCCGCGCGCGUCCCCGCGGACUCGAGCCGCCAUCCGGCCGCGAGGUCUGGGCGCCUCGGCCCGAGGACGCUGGUUUCGAGCGAGGCCAAAGUAAACAAAGCUCUCCUCCAUUUUUUCUGAUUAUGCAGAAAAUCGAAUGUAGACAAGCGAGGCAUUCUGAGGCCGUCCGGUCUCGGGGCAUUUAGGAACGUGCAGGUGUAUAUUAGCUUAAAAGUAUUAUACUAAUAAUAAAGGUUAACGUUGCAUAUGAAGAUUCGGGGAAUAGACCACGGACCACAAAGUUAAGAAUGAUAGCAUAUAUUCUACUAGAAAAAAAAAGCCUUCUCACCAUAUGCAGACAAAUUCCCCGGACUGGAGGGAGGGAGAAUUCAGAGAGAAAAGGAACUUAGGGAAUGAUUAGGAAACAGGCUCAGAGAGGCCCUUGAGCACUUGAUUUCCAGGCCAGGCUUCUUUCUACCAGCCCUGGUUUCAAGAAGAGAAGAAGUUAGCCUCUCGCCACAUGAAGUCCCUGAGUCAGACACAAAGAAACCAUCACUUUCAAGGAACCCGUUGAUUUAUAGUGAACCUCACGUGGGGGCUAUGCAGAGCCUGAAAAGGCGAGGAGAAACUGGAGACCUACACACAACACAAUGCAAAGAGCCUUGGGAGGGCUUCCCUGGUGGCACCGUAGUUAAGCAUCCGCCUGCCAAUGCAGGGGACACAGGUUCGAGCCCUGGUCCUGGAAGAUCGCACAUGCCGUGGAGCAACUAAGCCCGUGUGCCACAACUAGUGAGCCUGCACUCUAGAGCCCAGGAGCCACAACUACUGAGCCCACGUGCCACAGCUACUGAGCCCACGUGCCUAGAGCCCAUGCUCCGCAACAAGAGAAGCCACCGCGAUGAGAAGCCCGCGCACCACAAUGAAGAGUAGCCCCUGCUCGCUGCAACUGGAGAAAGCCCAUGCGCAGCAACGAGGGCCC